AACUGCNUUGAAAACUGAUUAUCUAGAAUAUGGGAGAGGUAGAUGGAAUUUCUGGUGUAGGGGUAAAAUCCGUAGAGAUCAGAAGGAAUACCGAUUGCGAAGGCGAUCUACUGGAACAUUAUUGACGCUGAGACGCGAAAGCGUGGGGAGCAAACAGGAUUAGAUACCCUGGUAGUCCACGCCCUAAACGAUGUACACUAGUUGUUGUGAGGCUAGACCUUGCAGUAAUGCAGUUAACACAUUAAGUGUACCGCCUGGGGAGUACGGUCGCAAGAUUAAAACUCAAAGGAAUAGACGGGGACCCGCACAAGCGGUGGAGCAUGUGGUUUAAUUCGACGAUACGCGAAGAACCUUACCUGGACUUGACAUAGAAAGAAUAACGCAGAGAUGUGAUAGUGCUUGCUUGCAAGAACUUUCAUACAGGUGCUGCACGGCUGUCGUCAGCUCGUGUCGUGAGAUGUUGGGUUAAGUCCCGCAACGAGCGCAACCCUCGUCGUUAGUUGCUAACAGUUCGGCUGAGAACUCUAACGAGACUGCCUGGGUAACCAGGAGGAAGGUGAGGACGACGUCAAGUCAUCAUGGCCCUUACGUCCAGGGCUACACACGUGCUACAAUGGGGCAUACAAAGAGCCGCGAUACCGUGAGGUGGAGCAAAUCUCAAAAAUGCCUCCCAGUUCGGAUAGUAGUCUGCAACUCGACUACUUGAAGUUGGAAUCGCUAGUAAUCGUAGAUCAGCAAUGCUACGGUGAAUACGUUCCCGGGUCUUGUACUCACCGCCCGUCACACCAUGGGAGUUGAACUCAUUCGAAGCGGGGAUGCUAAAGUAGCUACCCUCCACAGUGGAUUCAGCGACUGGGGUGAAGUCGUAACCAAGGUAA
rnacentral:rRNA from 1 species